AGUGAACGCUGGCGGCGUGCCUAACACAUGCAAGUCGAACGAGAACGGGUUUAAGUUUACUUAAACUGUCAGCUAAGUGGCGCACGGGUGAGUAAUGUAUAGUUAACCUGCCCUCUAGAAAGGAAUAACAGUUAGAAAUGACUGCUAAUGCCUUAUAUGCCUUUUUAACAUAAGUUAGUAAAGGGAAAUGCUUUUUGUGCUAGAGGAUGGGACUGUAUAGUAUCAGAUAGUUGGUGGGGUAAUGGCCUACCAAGUCAAUGACGCUUAACUGGUUUGAGAGGAUGAUCAGUCACACUGGAACUGAGACACGGUCCAGACUCCUACGGGAGGCAGCAGUGGGGAAUAUUGCACAAUGGACGAAAGUCUGAUGCAGCAACGCCGCGUGGAGGAUGACACAUUUCGGUGCGUAAACUCCUUUUAUAUAGGAAGAUAAUGACGGUACUAUAUGAAUAAGCACCGGCUAACUCCGUGCCAGCAGCCGCGGUAAUACGGAGGGUGCAAGCGUUACUCGGAAUCACUGGGCGUAAAGAGCAUGUAGGCGGAUUGAUAAGUUUGAAGUGAAAUCCUAUAGCUUAACUAUAGAACUGCUUUGAAAACUGUUAAUCUAGAAUAUGGGAGAGGUAGAUGGAAUUUCUGGUGUAGGGGUAAAAUCCGUAGAGAUCAGAAGGAAUACCGAUUGCGAAGGCGAUCUACUGGAACAUUAUUGACGCUCAGAUGCGAAAGCGUGGGGAGCAAACAGG
rnacentral:rRNA from 1 species